UACGGGGGGGGGUAAGCGUUGUUCGGAAUUACUGGGCGUAAAGGGCUCGUAGGCGGCCAACUAAGUCGGACGUGAAAUCCCUCAGCUUAACUGGGGAACUGCGUCCGAUACUGGAUGGCUUGGAUUUGGGAGAGGGAUGCGGAAUUCCAGGUGUAGCGGUGAAAUGCGUAGAGAUCGUAAGGAAGACCAGUGGCGAAGGUGGGUCUCUGGACAGUUCCUGACACUGAGGCACGAAAGCUAGGGGAGCAAACAGG
rnacentral:rRNA from 1 species